AAAACAUGAGCAGAAGAUCCUAGAACUCACCCACAAGAUGAUGGAGCUGCUGACUGGAGAGGUUCCUGUAAGGUGUCAGGAUGUGGCGGUCUAUUUUUCCAUGGAGGAGUGGGAGUAUGUAGAAGGAUACAUGUGUCUGUACAAAGACUUUAUGAUGGAGGAUCCACGGCCUCUGACAUCACCAGGUGUUCUUCACCAGGCAAGCCAUCUAUAUCCAUGAUGUCUGAGUCUCUUCCACCUGCUGAAAAUGGAUGCCCCUGAGGAAGGAGUGAAAGCCGAGUCUAUGAAUGGAGCUGCAGCUGCAAGCUUGGGAUUACUAGGCCAUGAUCACUAAACCUAGAAGUGAAAGAGCUGAGAGAAGAGUCUGAUCUAUAGACAGAUCUACAGGAGGCCAUGUAUUCAGUCACUGUGUGCUUGUGUCUCCUCAGAUAGAUCCAGGAGAAGAAAUCCCCCCAAGAGAUGUCCCCGUCCUCUGUAUUCCCAGGACUGUCCAGAGGAGAAGCUCCCAGAGAACC